rnacentral:misc_RNA from 1 species
UACGUAGGGGGCAAGCGUUGUCCGGAAUUAUUGGGCGUAAAGGGCGCGCAGGCGGUUCUUUAAGUCCGGUGUUUAAGCCCGGGGCUCAACUUCGGGACGCACGGGAAACUGGGGGACUUGAGUACAGGAGAGGAAAGCGGAAUUCCACGUGUAGCGGUGAAAUGCGUAGAGAUGUGGAGGAACACCAGUGGCGAAGGCGGCUUUCUGGCCUGGUACUGACGCUGAGGCGCGAAAGCGUGGGGAGCGAACAGG